rnacentral:rRNA from 1 species
CGUAACAAGGUAGCUGUAGGUGAACCUGCUGCUGGAUCAUUACCUUGUCUCCAUACGACAAUUUUGUAGAAGAGGCGGAAGGAAGCCUCUUCUUCCGCCUAGCGGGUUAGUCUGUAGGCGCCAACGUCCCUUGGCAUGGCCCAUGUCCCACUGGGCCGAGACAAGUAGCUUUGCCCGCCCUACUGGCUCUUGUCUCAGUCUAGCUUGCAGGCGAAAACGGCUUCGCUGGAUCCUAUACAAUGCCGAGCAGCUGUUGUCUCAAUGUCCGUGGCUUGCAGUGAAGCGUUGUGGUAGCCCUUCGACUGUGCCUUAACCGGCGCGGAAGGAGUAGGAUUAAUGAGUACCAGGGAGGUGCCGCCAGCGAAAUCUUUUUUUUUCACUUUUUUUAAUGAAACAUUGAAUACGUUAGUCUUACCGGUGGAUCACUCGGCUCGUGGGUCGAUGAAGAUCGCAGCCAAAUGCGAUAGUUGGUGUGAACUGCAGAUAUUCUGAGCACUAAGGCAUCGAAUGUGCAUUACGCCUUGGGACUAAAAUCCCUUGGCGCGCCUGGUUCAGGGUCAUUUCCACUAAAAACACUAGCAUUGUGUUGACAGUUGCUUCCGCGCUGGGACCAAGCCGCUAUGAGUGCCGGAGUGAAGCAGUUAGUGUGAAGGCUCCUGGGAGGUUGUCCUAGUUCAGAGCGGUUCUUGUGAAUGAAUGAUUUCAGCAAACAAACCGACCGACUCCGACUAUGACUCUCUCAAGGUGGCUAAAAAGCAGUGUAGCUAUCUUGUUCGAUUUAUGACCUGAACUCAGACGCGAUCACCCGCUGAACUUAAGCAUAUCAGUAAGCGGAGGAAAAGAAACUAACAAGGAUUCCCUUAGUAACGGCGAGUGAAA